CUCAAAAAACAAAAACAAAAACAUUCCAGUGUGUCCUUUGCCGCCUUGUUCACUGGAUUGGGCAUCAUGCAACUUCCGGCUCUUCCCCAAAGUCAAGAUGACCCAGGACGGUCAAAGUCUUAAAUUGAUUGAGGACAUUGAGAUAGCCUGGGGGGUGCAGCCAAGGAUACUCAUGAAAAAGGACUUUGAAAACUGCUCCAGGAGGUGGUGGGAAUGAUGGGAUAAGUGUCUUUGGAGCAAGGGGGAGAAUCUUGGGGAGGAUUAAUGGCAAUGGGCCUUGCACCUUAGUACAUUAAAAUAUUUUUUGAACGCUCACAGUAUUUUUUGAUCACAUCUUGUAUAUUGGCUUUUCCCAUGAGCCCAUAUGUCUGCCCCAGGAGUGGAAAGGAAGCAUCCCCUUGGCUGACAGGUGUUUUCCAUGGCCUUUGCGGGAGGUGCUGUGGCCCGUGUUGGGAGAGGCCUUCGUGCCGUCCUGGAACCCACAAAGUCCCACCAGGUGAAGAUUUACAGAACCCAGAACAUCUGGUGGUCUUCAGAUAACAUCAGAGUGCAAAACGUACCCCUUAUUCUCCAGGCCCAUGGACCAACUGACACCUAGCACAGAAAAUCGCUAUGAGAUUUAACUUGCAGAAAAGCGAUAACACUGCCAAAUAAAAUACAGGAAC
rnacentral:lncRNA from 1 species